rnacentral:rRNA from 1 species
UACGGAGGGGGUUAGCGUUGUUCGGAAUUACUGGGCGUAAAGCGCGCGUAGGCGGAUCGGAAAGUUGGGGGUGGAAUCCCGGGGCGCAACCCUGGAAUGGCCUUCAAAACUCCCGGUCCUGAGGUCGAGAGAGGUGAGUGGAAUUCCGAGUGUAGAGGUGAAAUUCGUAGAUAUUCGGAGGAACACCAGUGGCGAAGGCGGCUCACUGGCUCGAUACUGACGCUGAGGUGCGAAAGCGUGGGGAGCAGACAGG